CAAAACUGACAGCGGGGGGCUGGCCAUUUCAGGUUGGUGGCCUUUUGAGCAGUCGCCCAGAACCAACUCAUGGCCCAUCCAGACACAUAACCUGCAAUACAGACUGACUGCCCUGUUCUUGCAUUAUACCCUUAGUGACAAUGGGGCAGGGCCUGUUUGAUACAGGAUCAAAGCAUUCAGGGGGCAAAUGCCAUCAUGCCCCAUUGCCAUUCCCCCCCAUUGUGGCACGGCAGUUAUGUACUCUCUCUCUGCUUUGGGUCUUGGUACUUUGGUUCUUCAUACAAUGCGGUAGGGCUGCCACUUCCAACCUAAGUAUGGAACGUUUCCACAUCUGCCUUGGAUGGUUUUGCAACAAGUUGAAGUACCCACCUUGGGGGCAUUAGAAAACAUUGAUUACUUAUGAAUGGGGCAAUACAGAUUGAACUUUUAAAUGCCAUAGAACCAGUGGGUAUAAAUGAAGCCUGAAAUGUUUCAACUGAUACUAUUUUCCUUCACUGAUGCACUUUAGCCUUUGGGCUUGUUACUCAAUGGGCAAUGUCACUACUGGGCAAUGGUACAAGCAGUAUGGUAGGUGCCGGAUUUCUCUCAUAUGAAUGGCUUAUUAAUCUGAUGAGGUAUGUGUUAUUAAGUUAAUCUAAAGGUAAAACCAUUGGUGAGAAUAGUGCACACACCCGGCCAAUAGAAAAUGCUGCUGUUGUAAGUCACAUGGUGGGUGGGGGGGGAAUAAUAUGUGGAACUUUACUUUGUGUCAUGUAAACUGCACCAGAAGGACCUGUGUGGCCGGAAACAUACGGAGAAUCUCAAAUUGCUGUUUGGCUCUUCAGUGGAUUCUUCAAGGUUUGUACCGAUCGUUCCCUGGGUGUCUCUUCCCAAGCUCAUUCCCAUCUCCCACACCCUGGCCCUGGGGCAGCAAGCUAUGGGAUUGGGUGUGUAUAAUGUAUAAUAUCCCCCUGUAUUGCCCCUCAGUGCCCAUGGAUAGCACCGGCUCCUACUGCCCCGGCACAGUAACGGCCAAACCCCCGAGCACAGCGAUAGCCCCGGUCCUGUAGGGGAGAUGGGUCCCACUUGUACAAUGUUGGCCCUGAUAUGGGAGGAGCUAUAGAUCUGAGGUCACAGUGAGGCGGGGCAAAAACACUGGGUCUUUCAAAGGGUUGUUUUCUGUUGUGAGUGGGAACUCAGGACUAAAACUCGAUCCACUAGUUUUGGUCUAUACAGUAAGGGGUCACAAUAUGGCCGCUCUGUGGGGUUUUUGUUUUGCCAAAUGCAGUGUUUAUUCUUUCUAAUUCCUAUUUAGGGGAGAUUCAAGGCUUCAGAGUCAAAGCUCCAUAGGCAAAACCUUCAUGUGCAAUGGAAGCGGAGACAACGUUGAGUUCAACCAAUAACGAUGAUGAAGCUCCAGUUGCACGUCUGGGCCCAGUGGCAACGCAACAAUCACAGUACUAGCCAUUCAGCUUUGAUACAUGCUACCUGGCUCUGACGGGCGGGUCGAGUGACCAAUGGGGGGGCUCAUCAUCAGGUCUCAGCGUAUGACUGCGCUUUGCAUUUCUAUUUGUUUUUUUGUCAUUUUUGGGUCCCAGAUUUUUUUUCUUUUUAAAGUUGAGCUGUGACUUCUUUUUGCGCCAAAUAAAGCGAUGUUUCUAUUUUAACUCAAGGCUUCUAUCUGGCCCAUAUCAGUCCCUGCCCCAGUGGGGCUUGCAG